GUGGAGGUGGGGGGACAGGGACAGAAAGACGUAUCGGCCCUCGGAGAGAAGAAAACAACGCGUGAUCACCUCUAAUCCUUUGAAAAAUGUCCCGGUGUCGGGAGGGCAAUUUACUAACAAGUAAUUAAAGGUCGCACCGGUUUGCAGGCGAGCCGGGCCAGAGGCUGCUGCAAGAGAAGAGCGAACAGCAAGUGGAUGGGAAAGGAGCCUCUACAACAUAAACCUCAUUGACUUAAUGGGUCGGUUUUGGAUUUCGCCUUCGAAAUGUUCGGCGAGUGGCAGCGUUGUGUUUCUGCCCCGCCGGUUCCCAGCCUUCAGCCCCGGU